UACGAAGGGGGCUAGCGUUGCUCGGAAUUACUGGGCGUAAAGCGCACGUAGGCGGCCUUCUAAGUCGGGGGUGAAAUCCUGGAGCUCAACUCCAGAACUGCCUUCGAUACUGGAGAGCUUGAGUCCGGGAGAGGUGAGUGGAACUGCGAGUGUAGAGGUGAAAUUCGUAGAUAUUCGCAAGAACACCAGUGGCGAAGGCGGCUCACUGGCCCGGUACUGACGCUGAGGUGCGAAAGCGUGGGGAGCAACAGG
rnacentral:rRNA from 1 species